AUCGCUUCUCGGCCUUUUGGCUAAGAUCAAAGUUUAGUUUCUGUUCUUAUCGAAUUAACCUUCGAUAGGGAUUCGAUUGAGUCUCGUUAAGGUUGUUUGAUUUUUGGGACCGGAUGAGGCUGUAGGCUUGCUCGCGGGUCGGCCCAGCGUUGCACUGCUGCUGGGAUCGGGCCACCUCCG
rfam:Ancylostoma ceylanicum strain HY135 Acey_s0521_scaf, whole genome shotgun sequence.